AUUUAAGGAGCAAGAUUUGACAGACCCCAAAGGAAUGAAUUGUUGCUCUUUCCAAUCUACAUGUGGGUUGUGUUUGUGUAACUAAGGAAAUCCCAAAACCAAUGCACAAGAAGGCGAGUUAAUGAAAUGGAACACUAUUUCUUCCUCAUGUAAGAGACAAACAGAUAGGGUAAUGGUCUCUUUCUUAUGAGUAACCAUGGGAAUGGUUAAUGGUCUACUAUCUAUGGCCUUACCGGCCAAGGGUGUUCUCAGCUUAAGUGGCAGAUAAAUAGAUGUUGCAUAACUAAGGUCUAUAAAAUAGUUGGUGGCUGCAGAGUCAAUGACAGUCAUAGUAUGGAUAACAGUAGAACCACAUCCCAGACAUACAGGAAGGAGGAGAUGAGUAUUUAGGGAACAGCGACAACACAUACAAGAUCUCAGUUCCUAGGGUUUUCCGAGCGGCUGGACAAUUACUUCUUAGAUGUCCUGUCCUUCCACACUAUAGGCAUAACACUUCUGUUCUUCUAUACAUUCUGUCUC